ACGUAGGUGGCAAGCGUUGUCCGGAAUUAUUGGGCGUAAAGGGUGCGCAGGCGGUCUCUUAAGUCUGUCUUAAAAGUGCGGGGCUUAACCCCGUGAGGGGACGGAAACUGGGAGACUGGAGUAUCGGAGAGGAAAGCAGAAUUCCUAGUGUAGCGGUGAAAUGCGUAGAUAUUCGGAGGAAUACCAGUGGCGAAAGCGGCUUUCUGGCCGACAACUGACGCUGAGGCACGAAAGCCAGGGGAGCGAACGG
rnacentral:rRNA from 1 species